rnacentral:rRNA from 1 species
UACGUAGGGUGCAAGCGUUAAUCGGAAUUACUGGGCGUAAAGCGUGCGCAGGCGGCUUUGCAAGACAGAUGUGAAAUCCCCGGGCUUAACCUGGGAACUGCAUUUGUGACUGCAUGGCUGGAGUGCGGCAGAGGGGGAUGGAAUUCCGCGUGUAGCAGUGAAAUGCGUAGAUAUGCGGAGGAACACCGAUGGCGAAGGCAAUCCCCUGGGCCUGCACUGACGCUCAUGCACGAAAGCGGGGGGAGCAAACAGG